rnacentral:lncRNA from 1 species
UAAACGGCACGACGGUGGGGCAGGAGCGGUGCUGAAGGCAUCGACGUGCCGUAAAAAGCCCUAAACAGCCCUAAAAAAAUAAAAGCAGCCCCGGGUCCCUCUCGGCCGGUUCUCCGCUGAGGCCCGGCCCGGUGGGGGCUGCGGGCGGCUCCUGCUCGCGGAGCCGUGCCCGGGGUUAAAUAAACCCGGGAUGAGCGAUGGAGUGUUUGUAAGCACGGGACGCGGCCCGUGCCGAGCAAACAGGAAGCCAGCUCAUAUUCUUCUGCUAAAAUGACUUCUGGAUUUAAACAAACAAAUAGUUCGAGCUGUUUUAUUUAACCUGGGGAUGGGGAUUAGGGCUGGGCAGGGCGAGCACGGCGGUUUCGAGGAGGGCUGCCCGCCGAGGGGCCGCCCGGCGCGGAGCUUGGGCUUUGUCCCCCGCGGCUUUCGGCUCCCGGCGGUUGGCUCCGGCCGCCCCACAGCGCCUGGAAGGAGCAGCCGCUCUUAAUUAGGAGGUAGAUUCGCGGGUGCGUUUACCUAAAUUACCGGGAUGACGAGCGGUGCUGAGCAGAGCUUCGGUAAGCGGCUGGGGUCAGUUCAUUGCUGUUACAGCCGCGAUGCAACCUCCGGACCGUAAUAACCUCCCUACCGUAGUCCCCAAGCAAACCCACGGACAGCGAGGUUUUCUUUCCCCAUCUGAGGAAGUGGCGCACAAGUGAUUGUUUUUCACAGACCAUGAAUGAGAAAACGUAUUUUACUCUUCCCUUGCAGACAAGGCGGAGGGAAGGCAGGAGCGGCUCCCUGGCGGGGCCGCGGCCCUUCCCGGGGCUCCCGGGGCUGGGCUCGCCUCGGCCGCCGCCGCCCGGCUCCGGUGCCCUCUGGUGCCCGCCGGCUCCGGGGGUCUCCCCCCGGGGGUCUCGCAGCGGCUCCUCCGCGGAACCCGGGGGAUGCCUCUCUCUCCCUUUCCGGUGGACCACGACACGAGAAGCCUCGGCGGAGCCGGUAGCAGAUGCCCGGGAGCCGCCUCCUGCGAGGAACGGAGGCGCCCGGAGCCCUCCAGCCUCAGCCCCCCGGGCAGGGCACGGCCGGGCGGCCCCGGGAUGCGCUCACCGUGUUUCAGGGAUGCAGCACGGGUACCCGCGUUCGCGGCGCUUCAACAGCAGAGCCGUGUGUGCGGGGACCUGCAGCGCUGCCCGACGGCAGCCCUGGAGAAAUUGGGGACGAAUUUGUCCGGAGCUGGGGUCACCUGGAGCCGGGGACGACGACGAUCUCCCCCCGUCGAAGCACCUCGCAGCGCUGCCCCUGCCCUGCGCCGUGUGCCCGUGGCCGGCCAAGGGCAGGCGGGACUCGCCCCCCUGA